GUAAUUUGAAUGAAUAUGAUGGUGACACACACAGGCUGGAAGUCUUCCUCCUUCAUGGUGGCGAAAACAAGAGCAGCACCAAGGACACUUCACCAUCAUUGAUCACAAGACCAUCCAUGGCUGCUUUUGAUGAACUUUCACAGCACACUUAACCUUCAGUGCAAAGUACCAUGAAUAUAUGACCUUUGUUGUAAAUUGCUGGCAGUGCUGUUUGAUGUUUUGAAAUAAAAGUAGAUUACAUACUGCAA